UUAGAACCGAACCACAAAAACUGGCUUUGUUCACAUCCCUACACACUGGCAGAUAGACUGCACUGUUUGCACAAACUGUAAAGCCAGUUUUCAAGAACAGCACACUGCAGCAAUCAAAAGAGAGAAAUAAAUGCCUGAAGGGAAACAAGAAUGGAAAGCAUCCUUAAAAUGACUGAUUUACAAUUGGCAAGGAGGAGAUACAAUAUGAAAAUUAUAGCCUUCUUAUUAUUUUAAACAUUGGAAGAAAAACUUUGGAAGAAAAGUGUAGACAGGCUGCUUUACCACUUGUAACUCAUGCUAUAAUAACCUGCAUUAGAUAAAGUCUAUAUGCUAGUCAUUUAUAUAUCUAUAUAAAAAUGUUUAUUAAAAAAUAGUUACUUGUUCAGAACCUAAGUUGAAGGGGAGAUGAAAACUGAAAUACCAGUUUGAAAGCUUAAUAUAUGUAUAACUUAUUAAAGAUCACCACAGCUAUUGAAGGCGUUUAAUAAACAUCCAUUAUGCUUAAGAGUUCACCUAAACACUGCUUCCCUACAAAUUAUCUGCAGCAUUCAUUUGUGAUAUUAUAGGGCUUUAGUCCUUCAGUAUAUGUCACAUGUUUUGGCCUGGGAACUAUCCAGGCCAUGCACUAUUUCCUUAAUCCCUACACCACCAUUAGGCAGUUCAAGCUGGCAUACUUUCACAACAGCCCAGAAGCCUUCUGGUUUGGUUAUCAGGAAGUCAGAGAGCCAAUCCAAUGCCAUUGCUACUAUAAAGUUACAGAUUUGUUCUCUCAGCCUGUUCUGUCUCAGGUACUUAGUAGCACUUCGACCAAAGUGCUUGACAGUGUGGUAAUGUUCAUCAUUUAGUGUAAGUCAGAAAAACUGGGUAGAGAAGCAUGGACCGGACACUCAGCCCUGUGUACCUGUGUAGAUAACAAUAAAGAUAUCAACAAUGGAAUUCACUCAUGUUAUUUUCAAUGGUUUGGAAGACAUGUUUGCUU